CUGGGAAAAAAAUCUACGACCUGGGAAAGGAAAGAGCCAGUUGAGGAAAAGCCCUUUGUCCCUUCUUUGUUUAUAUCUCCAACUUCCCGAUUUUUCCUGUGGCUGUGAUGGCCAGGAUGUGGCAGCCCUCUGGUUAUAACAGUGUCACAAAUCCUUCAUUGAGGCUGCCUUGCAACCCAAGCUCUGCCUCUCUCCAAUCCUCUCUUUCCCUCCCUUCAUAGGUGCAGAUGCUGAGAGCACUUUCUAGUCAAGUCCUGCAUGUUCAUUUCUGUCUCAAGUCAGCUUCUCUGAGAAUCCAAUUUAUAAAAAUAUAUUUGUGAAUGUAUAAGUAAAGUGACUUGGAUUUUGUCUACGUACAAGGACUUCUAUGCCUGCAUAAAACAGGAAAGAGAUCUUCAUGUAAACAGAGUCCCUCUUAUUGGCUGAAGUGAAGAGUCAUUCUGAGGCAUCUCAAGAUGAAGGUUUCCUAUUUGUGAUUAUGAAAAAAAUGUCAAGAACAAGUCCCUUGGUGUUCUUAGACCAAAGUCAGAACAACAGACCUAGUAUUUGUCUGGGGCUGGCUGUGCACCCAGAAGGCCAUUCGUUCCAUGAAGAACAUGACAGAGGUGCUGAGGUUUCUGUAGUGGAUAAAACACAAAAAUACCAGCCCUCAUGGUGAAAAUGGAAUGACAAUAAACAAGAUAAAUUAGAUCUAUGCAACAAAACCAAGCCUUUGUGCACAUCUGUGGUUGUGACCAGUUGGAGAGACAUUAGGAGAUGAGAUACUAUGUUCACUCCUCACAGCUGUACCAGGGACCUGAGAUAUUCCGUCACUAUUCUAUGAGAUUUUGGAGAUCCCACCAGUGGUUUUCCGGUGCCAGGGUAUGAGAAGAUAGUCUCCAUGUCCAAACUCACAAUUUCAGAACAAAUUUCAUCAAGAUAAAGGCCUGGGCUGGUGAAUGGUUCCUGCUUUCACUAUUCCAGAUGUCCAGCUCUGUACCUUGCUGCUCUCCUUAAAGCCUGCCUCCCUCUAGGGAGCUAUGGUGCAUUACUCACGAGUGACAGAACCAACGAGCUUCAUCUCCCAAGAGGCUGGUGCAUCUGUUUAAAGGAGCAGGCACUAGGCAGAGCAGCCCCCACCCCACCCUCCAUGGCAGAGUGCAGUGGGGGAAGGGAUGGGAUUUCACCAUGUUGUCCAAGCUGGUUUUGAACUCCUGGGGUCAAGAAAUCCACCUGCUUCGGCCUCCCACAGUGCUGGGAUUACAGGUGUGAGCCCCUGCACCCAGCCUAAUUAAGUUUUGAAUAUCUUAUCCCUAUCAAUGACUUGUCUUUUCAUUCCUCUAACGUUCUUAAUUUUGAUCAAGUCCAAUUUAUCUUUUCUCUCCUUUAUAGAUUGUGCUUUUGGUGUUACAUCUAAGAAAUCUUUGCUUUUGAUUAUUUUAAAAAUUGAUUUUCUCAUCAAGUAAAAGAAAAUGUACUUUCAAGUUCCUUUAAGUAUAUCCACGUUGCCUAGGCAACCAAGUUAUUUAUCAAUAGGUGAUCAUUUGUAAUGAUUUGUUAAUAAAGG
rnacentral:lncRNA from 1 species